CAGCAGCCGCGGUAAUACGUAGGGUGCGAGCGUUAAUCGGAAUUACUGGGCGUAAAGCGUGCGCAGGCGGUUAUGCAAGACAGAUGUGAAAUCCCCGGGCUCAACUUGGGAACUGCGUUUGUGACUGCAUGACUAGAGUACGGCAGAGGGGGAUGGAAUUCCGCGUGUAGCAGUGAAAUGCGUAGAUAUGCGGAGGAACACCGAUGGCGAAGGCAAUCCCCUGGGCCUGUACUGACGCUCAUGCACGAAAGCGUGGGGAGCAAACAGGAUUAGAUACCCGGGUAGUCCCUGUCUCUUAUAC
rnacentral:rRNA from 1 species